AAAGUCAAAUAGCACGUGAAAUUGUUGAAAGGGAAACGAUUGAAGUCAGUCGUACCGAUGGGCAUUCAGCCUCAUGAGUGCGAUUAUGUUGGGUGUUGGGGAGCUUAACCGUCCUCGCGCUUGCGUAUUUGUGCUCUACGGGUGUACUUGUCCGUAUGGUAGGUUAACAUCAAUUUCGGAAAUCAUAAAAUGGUUGGAGGAAUGUAGCUUUGGUCUCGUAUUGAAGUGUUAUAGCCUCUGGCAGAUGUGGUGAUCGGGAUUGAGGAUUGCAACGGAUACCCUUCGGGCUACCUGUCUGAUCUCUGAUCGUUACUCUGGUGCCGAAAGCUUGCUUACGGUCAUCAAAGUUGAUGGUCAAUAGGUUAGAACGGGUUAAAUUCGUUAAGGAUGUUGACGUAAUGGCUUUAAACGACC
rnacentral:rRNA from 1 species